rnacentral:rRNA from 1 species
GACGAACGCUGGCGGCGUGCUUAACACAUGCAAGUCGAACGGAAAGGCCCUGCUUUUGUGGGGUGCUCGAGUGGCGAACGGGUGAGUAACACGUGAGUAACCUGCCCUUGACUUUGGGAUAACUUCAGGAAACUGGGGCUACUACCGGAUAGGAGCUCCUGCUGCAUGGUGGGGGUUGGAAAGUUUCGGCGGUUGGGGAUGGACUCGCGGCUUAUCAGCUUGUUGGUGGGGUAGUGGCUUACCAAGGCUUUGACGGGUAGCCGGCCUGAGAGGGUGACCGGCCACAUUGGGACUGAGAUACGGCCCAGACUCCUACGGGAGGCAGCAGUGGGGAAUAUUGCAUAAUGGGCGGAAGCCUGAUGCAGCAACGCCGCGUGCGGGAUGACGGCCUUCGGGUUGUAAACCGCUUUCGCCUGUGACGAAGCGUGAGUGACGGUAAUGGGUAAAGAAGCACCGGCUAACUACGUG